rnacentral:sRNA from 1 species
AAAAAAUUAUGUGAAUUCAGAUUUAAAUCCCGGAAAAAAUGUAUAUUCUAAAACAAGAAUUAGAAGCUACCACCUGGAGUUGAGAUAAAAUUAUUAUCCUUGGAAUUUGCUGACGAAUUGAAGACGCGUUUUUAGUCCGAAAAAUCGAAUACCAAUGCCCGAUUGUUCGCGGAUUUCCCGCUACAAUAUAUAUUCAAGAAAUAUCAUCUGAAGUUCAUCGCUUGAUCUGUGUAAAUUACGUUGAAGUAUUUGGAACACUUAUUUAAACACCUCACGCACGAGCUCGUUUUAUGCUGCCUCGGAUUAAUAUUUGGAGUUGCUACUAA